CAGCAGCCGCGGUAAAACGUAGGAUGCGAGCGUUAAUCGGAAUUACUGGGCGUAAAGCGUGCGCAGGCGGUUAUAUAAGACAGAUGUGAAAUCCCCGGGCUCAACCUGGGACCUGCAUUUGUGACUGUAUAGCUAGAGUACGGUAGAGGGGGAUGGAAUUCCGCGUGUAGCAGUGAAAUGCGUAGAUAUGCGGAGGAACACCGAUGGCGAAGGCAAUCCCCUGGACCUGUACUGACGCUCAUGCACGAAAGCGUGGGGAGCAAACAGGAUUAGAUACCCCCGUAGUCCCUGUCUCUUAUAC
rnacentral:rRNA from 1 species